AGCAGCCGCGGUAAUUCCAGCUCCAAUAGCGUAUAUUAAAGUUGUUGCAGUUAAAAAGCUCGUAGUUGAAUUUCGGGAUUGACGUGACGGUCAUGCCUUAAGGGGUAUGAACUGUUACAGUUGAUUUCUCACCUUCUGGAGAAACUUGAUGUCCUUUAUUGGGUGUCUUGCGGAUCCAGGACCUUUACCUUGAAAAAUUAGAGUGUUUAAAGCAGGCAUUUUUGCUCGAAUACAUUAGCAUGGAAUGAUAGAAUAGGACGGCAUGGUUCUAUUUUGUUGGUUUCUAGGAUCACCGUAAUGAUUAAUAGGGAUAGUUGGGGCAUUAGUAUUCAAUUGUCAGAGGUGAAA
rnacentral:rRNA from 1 species